rnacentral:tRNA from 1 species
GGGUGAACGGCAACGAUUGGUGGUGUUGCGGCAGACUGUAAAUCUGUUCCCGUGUGGUAAACAAUAGAGGUUCGAUUCCUCUUUCGCCCA